UAAAACGACUGUCGGUAUUUGUUGUAGAGGCACGAGACCAUCAACGGAAAAAAUUAUUAAAAUGAGUGUAUUUUCGUGCCAAUAUCGGCGAACUGAGUCACGUCAGAUAUCCUUGUUAUAUCUACCACAUUACUUAUACUGAGUGGCUCAAGUGUGUGUUUCUUCAUAAUCGUCACCUACGUUGUACGACGCUUGUGUCAUUGCCACAAUCUCAACAUUUUUACCAACGACACCGUGAAGUGAGCUAACUUGGAACAUACUUCUUAACUUGGGCAAACGUGAUAUGUUAUAUUCAAAUCUUCAUAGUUGGCACCCAUAUUAGGAAAGUUGGAAAAACAAGGUACAUCAGUGGAGAUUGGAACAUUUGGAUCAACCAGUGCUUAAGAAGAUCCAUUUUACACCCUUACUGGAACAAACUUUGGAUGAGUUCAUUAAACUGUCUGUUCUGCAGAAUGGAUUUAGGAGAACUGGACUUGUUCCAUGGAAUUCAGAGGCUGUAGACUACUCAAAAAUUCCAACAGUCUCCACCACCCAAAACGAAUUUUUGAGGGGGCUUGGGCCCCCAUCAGGCCCCAUGGAGUCGGCGCCUGUGGCCAUCAAUAAGUGCCAGUGUGCGAAUCAUUCAACGAAAUGUCAUCGAUAUGGGCUUUCGGAGCCGAAAACCCAGUCGUGUACCCUUUAUGACUGCAGGAUACGAAGCUUUACACCUCGCCUGGGCCUGUCAACACCGACAUUGGAUUGUUGAUGACUGAAAACAUGUUGCCUGGUCAAACGAGUCUCAUUUCAAAUUGUAUCAAGCAGAUGGACAUGUACAGGUAUGGAGAUAACCUUAAGAAUCCAUUGAUCCUGCAUGUUAGCAGAGGACUGUUCAAGCUGGUGGAGGAUCUAAUUGUUUGGGGAGUGUGCAGAUGGAGUGAUAUGGGACCCUAGAUACGACUUUGACAGGUGACAUGUACGUGAGCAUCCUGUCUGAUCACCUGCAUUCAUGUCCAUUGUGCAUUCUGACCGGCACGGGCACUUACAGCAGGAAAAUGCGACACCCUUCACGUUCAGAAUUGUUAUAGAGUGUCUCCAGGAACACUCUUCUGAGUUUAAACACUUCCGCUGGCCACCAAAUUCUCCAGACAUGAACAUUAUUGAGCAUAUCUGUGAUGCCUUGCAACGUGGUGUUCAGAAAAGGUCUCCUAUCCCUCAAAUUCUUACGGAUUUAUGGACAGCCAUGUAGGAUUCAUGGUGUCAGUCCCCUCCAGCACUACUUCAGACAUUAGUUGAGUCUAUGCCACGUCGUGUUGUGACACUUCUGCAUGUUUGCAGGACCCCUACACGAUAUUAGGUAGAUGUACCAAUUUCUUUGGCUCUUCAGUGUAUGAUGAAAUGAACAUUAUUGAUGGUCCUGGCAGAAAACAAAUUUUGGGAAAUGGGGUAGCAGUGGUGUGAUAGCAGAAUAGUGACGCAUCAAGAUAUACGAUUUCCACACUAUUUAUCGGUAAGCACAAUAUGCAUCAUUUGUGUAAUCUUUAUGAGCAACCAUCCUUUUACUGAGUCAGACAUCUUACAGUACAACAAAUUUUUUUUAUAAUGUUCCUGGGCUGAAGGGGGACCUGAAGGCACAUGGUACAAUUGAUCAAAGUACUCUUGGCUCAGUAAGGCCAUAUUUGAAGAUUACUUCUAUUCUCUUGUGCUGCCUAAUUUCAGUCGUCUUGAUGGCAAUUUGCCAAAAGUAAUACUUGGUGACAACUGAGUUUCUCACAUUUCACCAUCUGUAAUUCAAGAAUGUGAGACGAAUAACAUCUGAUUUCUGCUUCUGCCUUCUGAUUUCACUCACAUCUAUUAACCACUUGAUGUUGUCUUUUUUAGAACAUUAAGGAUAAAGUUGGUGGGAGUUCUGAAUCAGAGGAAAUCUAAAUAUUGGGGAAGAGUGCCUAAAGGUAACUUUCCCAGAUUGAUCAAGGCAUGUCUUGACAGCUUAGGUGAAAAUGGAUCUAUAGAAGAGAAAGCUGGUCUCAGGGCAACUGGAAUUUAUUCUCUCAACAAAAAUGAGGUCCUGAAGAGAAUACCAGCAACUGGAACAAAAAAGCAGCAGUAGCCCUCGAUGUGUCCAAGCCAGCAGGAUCGAGCGCCAACAUUCCUAGCUCCACUGUCAUGACUGGGCCUGUAGCAACCUUGCGUGCCACCCAGUUGAGACCUGCAUCAACCUCUAGACCUGUGGCGGCAACAACCUCCGACACGUCUGAACCAGUAGCGGCCACAUUGGAUCCUGUAGCGCACUUAGCCCACUUGCUGGAGCAGAACAAGGAGCUGCUGUUGUCCAUCCCACUCAUCGAUUUGUGUCAUGAGGACACGCGAUCUGCCCCCGACACAUCGAAUGCUGUCACUGGUGGUGUUAAAUGCUAAGAUGGAGAUCAGUACUGGUUACCAAUAUAUGACCCAUCCCUGCAGAACAUCCUAGUGAUAGUGCAACGACAGAGUCCAGAUACUGUGAAUGAGAAGGCGUCGAGUGCACCUAUGCUUUUCACCUCCACAUACAAUUUAACUCCCAGUGGAUUGAAACGUGUGAAAAUUGCUAUAGAAGUGCAUCAUGUCUGGGGCUUGUAAGCGAGAAUGGAGAUUGAAAAUGUGUUAAAGUGCCAAUUUCCGAGUUCGACUGGUACGAAACGUGUCGUGCAAAGCGUUAUAUCAGUCAGCCGGUGACUACAGAGUAUUAUUCAACUCGUUCUCCCAAGACAUUCGUCUUAUUGGUGUGACACUUUCUAUUACAACAGUGUAUGAUGACUGUGCAUUAUGUGUGAAAUCAGGUGACAACUGUGUUUAUCUAAGACAUGCCUCCAUUAUGAAGUUAUACAAUCUGGAAAAUGCCAUACAUCUUGCAUUGGACAGACUGAGCUGUUGGUUGCCUAGCAUACACUCUGCAUAAAAUGAUGUUGUAAACUCCCUACAUGUACAUAGUGCACAUGUGACGAUCUUAAGCAGCACCUUUGUUUGCGCAAGAAUGCUGAACCUAAAGAGAAACACAUUAAAUGUGUGUGUGAAAAACCGGAGUACUGUGAGGCAUCUGUUGGCUUGAGGGAGAUACACGCUGAAUUUAUUGCAUGUCAGAAAGCUUUAUUUGGUAAAUGCUAUACAGGUGCAAAGAAGAAGAUACAUACAGAUUGUAAUGAUACUCCUGAAACACAACACCCUAUGUAU